UCAUUGGAGAGUUUGAUCCUGGCUCAGGACGAACGCUGGCGGCGUGCUUAACACAUGCAAGUCGAACGGAAAGGCCCCUUUGGGGGUACUCGAGUGGCGAACGGGUGAGUAACACGUGAGUAACCUGCCCUUGACUUCGGGAUAACUUCAGGAAACUGGGGCUAAUACCGGAUAGGAAUCCUUGCUGCAUGGUGGGGGUUGGAAAGCACGGGUAGCCGGCCUGAGAGGGCGACCGGCCACAUUGGGACUGAGAUACGGCCCAGACUCCUACGGGAGGCAGCAGUGGGGAAUAUUGCACAAUGGGCGGAAGCCUGAUGCAGCAACGCCGCGUGCGGGAUGACGGCCUUCGGGUUGUAAACCGCUUUCAGCAGGGGCGAAGCUUUUGUGACGGUACCUGCAGAAGAAGCACCGGCUAACUACGUGCCAGCAGCCGCGGUGAUACGUAGGGUGCGAGCGUUGUCCGGAUUUAUUGGGCGUAAAGAGCUCGUAGGUGGUUGAUUGCGUCGGAAGUGAAAACUUGGGGCUUAACCCUGAGCGUGCUUUCGAUACGGGUUGACUUGAGGAAGGUAGGGGAGAAUGGAAUUCCUGGUGGAGCGGUGGAAUGCGCAGAUAUCAGGAGGAACACCAGUGGCGAAGGCGGUUCUCUGGACCUUUCCUGACGCUGAGGAGCGAAAGCGUGGGGAGCGAACAGGCUUAGAUACCCUGGUAGUCCACGCUGUAAACGGUGGGUACUAGGUGUGGGGUCCAUUCCACGGAUUCCGUGCCGUAGCUAACGCAUUAAGUACCCCGCCUGGGGAGUACGGCCGCAAGGCUAAAACUCAAAGGAAUUGACGGGGCCCCGCACAAGCGGCGGAGCAUGCGGAUUAAUUCGAUGCAACGCGAAGAACCUUACCUGGGUUUGACAUGGACUGGGAGUGCUCAGAGAUGGGUAUGCCUCCUUGUGGGGCUGGUUCACAGGUGGUGCAUGGCUGUCGUCAGCUCGUGUCGUGAGAUGUUGGGUUAAGUCCCGCAACGAGCGCAACCCUCGUUCACUGUUGCCAGCACGUUAUGGUGGGGACUCAGUGGAGACCGCCGGGGUCAACUCGGAGGAAGGUGGGGAUGACGUCAAGUCAUCAUGCCCCUUAUGUCCAGGGCUUCACGCAUGCUACAAUGGCCGGUACAAAGAGUUGCGAGCCUGUGAGGGUGAGCGAAUCUCGGAAAGCCGGUCUCAGUUCGGAUUGGGGUCUGCAACUCGACCCCAUGAAGUCGGAGUCGCUAGUAAUCGCAGAUCAGCAACGCUGCGGUGAAUACGUUCCCGGGGCUUGUACACACCGCCCGUCAAGUCAUGAAAGUCGGUAACACCCGAAGCCGGUGGCCUAACCUGUGUGGGGGAGCCGUCGAAGGUGGGACUGGUAAUUAGGACUAAGUCGUAACAAGGUAGCCGUACCGGAAGGUGCGGCUGGAUCACCUCCUUU
rnacentral:rRNA from 1 species